GUUUCCCUAGUGUAGUGGUUAUCACGUUCGCCUCACAUGCAAAAGGUCCCUGGUUCGAAACCUGGCGGAAACA
rfam:Mus musculus chromosome 17, GRC primary reference assembly.